rnacentral:rRNA from 1 species
ACUGACCAGCCCUAAAUGUGCCUGAUCUCAUCUGAUCCCAGAAGUUUGGCAGGGUCAGGCCUGGUUAAUACUUGGAUGACAGUC